AGUGAACGCUGGCGGUAGGCCUAACACAUGCAAGUCGAACGGCAGCACAGUAAGAGCUUGCUCUUACGGGUGGCGAGUGGCGGACGGGUGAGGAAUACAUCGGAAUCUACUUUUUCGUGGGGGAUAACGUAGGGAAACUUACGCUAAUACCGCAUACGACCUACGGGUGAAAGCAGGGGAUAUUCGGACCUUGCGCGCUUGAAUGGGCCGAUGUCGGAUUAGCUAGUUGGCGGGGUAAAGGCCCACCAAGGCGACGAUCCGUAGCUGGUCUGAGAGGAUGAUCAGCCACACUGGAACUGAGACGCGGUCCAGACUCCUACGGGAGGCAGCAGUGGGGAAUAUUGGACAAUGGGCGCAAGCCUGAUCCAGCCAUACCGCGUGGGUGAAGAAGGCCUUCGGGUUGUAAAGCCCUUUUGUUGGGAAAGAAAAGCAGCAGGUUAAUACCCCGCUGUUCUGACGGUACCCAAAGAAUAAGCACCGGCUAACUUCGUG
rnacentral:rRNA from 1 species